rnacentral:rRNA from 1 species
UACGAGGGGGGGCAAGCGUUGUCCGGAUUUAUUGGGCGUAAAGAGCGUGUAGGCGGCUUGGUAGGUCCGCUGUGAAAACUCGAGGCUCAACCUCGAGAUGUCGGCGGAAACCACUUGGCUAGAGUCCGGAAGAGGAGAGUGGAAUUCCUGGUGUAGCGGUGAAAUGCGCAGAUAUCAGGAAGAACACCGGUGGCGAAGGCGGGUCUCUGGGCAGUAACUGACGCUGAGGAGCGAAAGCGUGGGGAGCGAACAGG